UUUUAGGACAGGUUUGGUAGAGCUCCACUUGCUCCCGAGUAUCAGUGGAAGCUGAUUUUGAUAGAAGUGAUUCUGUGGUUAAAAGUGAAUAUAUGAUUCACUAUGAUUAACUUUACGGAGAAAGGAUUUUUUUUAAGAAAUGAGUUUUUUCAACUUCCAGCCUCUUAGUUCAUUUCAGCAUAGAAUCACUUUUUUUUUGAAACUAUGUGGCAGAGCUUCUCAUGAAUUCAGCCUAGAAGGUAGAAGCUGCUAAGAGAGAACAGGCCCUUAGUUACACUUAGAGAAGAUACAAUCUCU
rnacentral:lncRNA from 1 species